rnacentral:sRNA from 1 species
UGCUGUCUUCUAUUGUUAGUUGGCUUUCCCUUAAAUGCCUUUGCAUAAAAGUUUGCUGUUCUCUGACAUGUUGAGUCGUUGUAAUACCAAUCUUCAUCAGUGUUCGAUCCUGCUUCAAGAAUUGACAGCUCAUGUCCUAUGGUUUUCCUCAUAUCACCAAGUGUCCAGUCAUCUCCUCCAUGGGCUCUAGUCAAGUUCUGCCUGAUUUUUGACGGUAGUUUUCUCAAGACUACAGGUACCAAUAAGUUUCCAUAGCACUCUUCAGUCGGGUUCAGAGUUUCUAAUCCACGGAUGUAUGUUUCCAUCUUGUCAUAGAAUUCCCUCAAACUGUGUAAAGUAUCCGUUGGUUCAGGUAGGUCCAAUAAUGCUUGCAUAUAAAUUCGAGUAAUUUUGUGUGGCUGUCCAUACCUCUCUUUCAGUAGAUCAACGGCCUUUAUAUAAUUGGCAUUGGUAAGCGCUAAUCCUUCUACCACUGAUAAAGCCUCACCCAGGAGCAGUGAUUUCAAGUAAUUGAACUUCUGAACAUCACUUAAACUGAUAUUGUCAUGAACUCCAGAGUUAAAUGAAUCCCAAAAUGAUUGCCAAUCUAAUUUGUUUUCGUUGAAUGUAGGCAAGGAUAACUUUGGUAAUUUGUGGUUGGAAGCAGUAGAUAAACUACCUGACGGCAUUGACACAGGGUAAUGAUCACGUAUUGAUGGAACUGUUGUGUGAUCAGAUGACACUUCAUUGAUUUCAUGAGGAUUGAAUGUACCAUUUUCAUCAUUUGACUUACGAAAAUCUUGUUUCUCCCCAGCUACAUUUGCAAAUUUGUUGUCAAUGAAUUCUUUGAAACGCCUCAAUCUAAUGUCUAACUCAGUGUUAUACUCAUCUGAUUCAAUGAUUUCAUUCUCGAUUUCCUCCUCUUCUGUAAUUUGAUUCAAUAUCUGUUCGUCCAGAAUGUCCAUUAACUUCCUUUUCUGCUUCAAGUCUUCAAGAAUUGACAAAAGAUCUUCCCUGGAAAAAUCUUCAGAUCCUUCGUAUUUUUUCAGUUUUCUGGUAACAGCACUUCUGUUCCCUGUUCUAGUGGCUUUUAACUUGCGUAGUUCCAUUUCUCUGGUCACGGCACCAAAAUGUUACGAGAGAUAGAUAAAACACAUCUGUUCGAGGAUGUAGAAGAGAUAAAAAAGACAAACGAAAAAUAUAGUACUCAAGAAUCACAGAUGGAAAAGUCCAUUUUUGACCAAUGGGAGCAGGACGAAUCUUGUUUUGUUUCAACAAAUGCGUGUGAAGAAGUAGAAAAAAUAAUCAAAAGCAGGAACCUGGUUAUAGUGGGUGGUCACUCAGGAUCCGGAAAGUCAGCCAUUAUUCAACACAUCGCACUCAAAUACAGAAAGCAGGGCUGGACCGUAAGACGAGUAACGGAGAUUUGCAUUGGUAAUCUCUUAGAAAACAAAGAAUACUCCGAAGAGUUUAAACAUGGGUUAAACCUCUGCGGAUUUAAUAGUAUGGCACCUUUUGAAGUAGGCAACAAUCUUGACUCCCUGAACGAAUAUUUGGUCAAGAAAGUAGACGACACGUACCAUUUUUAUCAUGACUUUGUAAUGGAAGUUACUACGCAUGUGUUUGGAACAGAUUAUCCCACUGAAACAAUAAAAUACGCCGAUAUUGGCUUCCUCAGAAGAAGAGUAAAAUUGGGAAAUUUUGACAAACACGACGACUCGUUCACUAUUUAUCUAAGUGACAGAUACAUUGAGAAACUUGGAGAAAGGCUUUAUACUGAACUGUUUGGAGAACGCGUGGUAGAUGUCGUACUCAACCCUUGUCUAAGGAAUGAAAACGUAAUCGAGCUGGUAACGAUAUCCGAGAAAACGAUGACUAUAACCAUAGGGAAACAGGUGCAGAACGAAGGGAUAAAACUGUACAACUUUUACUGAGUAAUGGAGCAGACAUUAAUUUGUGCAACAAAAACGGAGCCACUCCUCUCUAUAUAGCUUGUCAAAACGGACAUAAUAGCACUGUACAACUUUUACUGAGUAAUGGAGCAGACCUUAAUUUAUGCGACGAGGACGGAACCAGUCCUCUGUUUGUAGCUUGUCAAAACGGUCAUAAUAGCACUGUAAAACUUUUACUGAGUAAUGGAGCAGACAUUAAUUUAUGUAGAGAGGACGGAGUCAGUCCUCUUUCUAUAGCUUGUUUUAACGGACAUGAUAGCACUGUACCACUUUUACUGAGUAAUGGAGCAGACAUUAAUUUAUGUCUAAAGGACGGAACCAGUCCUCUCUAUAUAGCUUGUCAAAACGGUCAUAAUAGCACUGUACAACUUUUGCUGAGUAAUGGAGCAGACAUUAUUUUAUGUAUAGAGGACGGAACCAGUCCUCUUUCUGUAGCUUGUUUUAACGGACAUGAUAGCACUGUACAACUUUUACUGAGUAAUGGAGCAGACAUUAAUUUGCGCAACAAAAACGGAGCCACUCCUCUUUCUUUAGCUUGUUUUAACGGUCAUAAUAGCACUGUACAACUUUUACUGAGUAAUGGAGCAGACAUUAAUUUAUGUCUAAAGGACGGAACCAGUCCUCUCUAUAUAGCUUGUCAAAACGGUCAUAAUAGCACUGUACAACUUUUACUGAGUAAUGGAGCAGACAUUAAUUUAUGUAGAGAGGACGGAACCAGUCCUCUCUCUAUAGCUUGUUUUAAAGGACAUAAUAGCACUGUACAACUGUUACUGCGUAAAGGAGCAGACAUUAAUUUAUGUCUAAAGGACGGAACCAGUCCUCUCUAUAUAGCUUGUCAAAACGGUCAUAAUAGCACUGUAAAACUUUUACUGAGUAAUGGAGCAGACAUUAAUUUAUGUAGAGAGGACGGAACCAGUCCUCUCUCUAUAGCUUGUUUAAAUGGACAUAAUAGCACUGUACCACUUUUACUGAGUAAUGGAGCAGACAUAAAUUUAUGCGAC